rnacentral:rRNA from 1 species
GACGAACGCUGGCGGCGUGCCUAAUACAUGCAAGUCGAGCGAACUUGCGGGAGCUUGCUCCCAAAAGUUAGCGGCGGACGGGUGAGUAACACGUGGGCAACCUGCCUAUAAGACUGGGAUAACUUCGGGAAACCGGAGCUAAUACCGGAUAAUUCUUUUCUACACAUGUAGAAAAGCUAAAAGGCGGUUUACGCUGUCGCUUAUAGAUGGGCCCGCGGCGCAUUAGCUAGUUGGUGAGGUAAUGGCUCACCAAGGCCACGAUGCGUAGCCGACCUGAGAGGGUGAUCGGCCACACUGGGACUGAGACACGGCCCAGACUCCUACGGGAGGCAGCAGUAGGGAAUCUUCCGCAAUGGACGAAAGUCUGACGGAGCAACGCCGCGUGAGUGAUGAAGGUUUUCGGAUCGUAAAACUCUGUUGUUAGGGAAGAACAAGUACGAGAGUAACUGCUCGUACCUUGACGGUACCUAACCAGAAAGCCACGGCUAACUACGUGCCAGCCGCCGCAGUAA